rnacentral:rRNA from 1 species
UACGUAGGCAGCAAGCGUUGUUCGGAGUUACUGGGCGUAAAGGGUGUGUAGGCGGGUGGAUACGUGGGGUGUGAAAUCUCCCGGCUCAACUGGGAGGGUGCGCUACAAACUGUCUGACUAGAGUGUGGGAUGGGUAAGUGGAAUUCCUGGUGUAGCGGUGAAAUGCGUAGAUAUCAGGAGGAACACCGGUGGUGUAGACGGCUUACUGGACCAUAACUGACGCUGAGACACGAAAGCGUGGGUAGCAAACAGG